GUUGUUGUUGCUAUUUCUUGGGCCGCUCCCGCAGCAUAUGGAGGUUCCCAGGCUAGGGGUUGAAUCGGAGCUGUAGCCACCGGCCUACGCCAGAGCCACAGCAACGCGUGAUCCAAGCCGCGUCUGCAACCUACACCACAGCUCACGGCAACGCCGGAUCCUUAACCCACUGAGCAAGGGCAGGGAUCGAACCUGCAACCUCAUGGAUAUCACAGCCUUUAGAAUAUUUCCCAGGGCCUUGUGACCCUCUAUUAAAAGUAAAGUCCAGGAGUUCCCACUGUGGCUCAGUAUAUUAAGAAUCCAACUAGUAUCCAUGGGGAUGCAGGUUCAAUCCCUGGCCUCGCUCAGUGCGUUAAGGAUCCACUGUGGCCGUGAGCUGUGGCGUAGGCUAUGGCUAUGGCUACAAUUCAGCCUCCUCCUCCCCACCCCCCGCCUCAAAAUUUCCAUGUGCUGUGGGUAUGGCCCUAAAAAGAAAAAAGUGAGGUCCCCUUUGCUGAAGUGAGCAGCUUCAGCAGGACAGGAGCGAUCAUUAGAUAUAGAAUAUCAUGCUCUGCCCCAGAUCUAGUGAGUCUGAACUUGAAUUUUACAAUAUUUCUAGGUGACUCUCACAGACAUUAAAAUUUGAGAACUGAUCUAGGCAACUAUUGAAGAGGCCUGCAGUGAUAGCAGAUAACAAUUAACCCAAGACAAUUAAGUGGAAAUAACCCAGUUAGGAUGAAUUUCAUUAGAUUCAAAAAAUAAAUCCACGGUAGAAACAAAGCAAAUCCUUGCCAGUGAAAAUUCAUUUUAAUCCAAAUCUGCCAGAGACUUUUCACAAAAUGUCAUGUGUAACCAUAAGCAAUUGAUACAGUGGAAAUAUAGCUUGGAUUUGGGGUGUAACUCCCAAAAUUGUGCUGGUCAACUACUGUGUAGGACUCAAAAUAUUCCUAGUAAUCCUAGCUGAGGAAUAACUGUGAACAUUUUUUGUGUCCUUUUUAAUUUUUAAAUUUUUUGGCUUGCUUAUGAACUCCUAAAUUCAUGGGGAAGAUAGGGAGGACAGAAAGAAAAAUACCGUCCCAAGGAAUGUUUUUCUUUUUAUGUCAAUUUGGGUGAUACCUGCCCCAGUGGUUCUCACUCUUUGGUACAUAUUCUAGAAUCAGCUGGAGAACUUUUAAAAAUCCCCAUGCCCAAACUGCACCCCACACCAAUUAAGUAAGAAUCUCUGAGGUUGGGACCCAGGCAUCAGCAGUUUCAAAAAGUCUCCAGGUGACUAUAACGUGCAGCCAAUGGGAGCCAAAGACCUAUGCAAGUCUAACAACUGCAGAGCCAACCAACAAUAAACUCAUAUAAAAAAUAACCACCUCAGGGCAACAGAAAUCAUGCCCAAGGUUUAAGAGAAAAUCAAUUAAGGAGCUACUAGCCCCUAAUCUGAGGUCUCUAUUUGUUUAUCAAGGUUCACAGUCAUUUGUCCCCAUGCUAGUCUUAAGAAAAAUACAGUAAUAUUAAAAUAAAAUGUUCCUGAAUACCUAGAGAUACCCAAGGAGACCACAACACUUCCAUAUUGCAUUAAAGAGCCUUUUUCCAAGGUCAAUGUGAGCUUUACUAUAUAGAUUGUGUUUAUAUAUAAGAUACGAGCACUUUUUAAACUGUCUGAAAAUACUGGUAAUCUGAAAACUAUGACUUGUUUAAAAUCAUACACUCUGUGAUG
rnacentral:lncRNA from 1 species